UUUACUAACCACAUAAACUCAGGUGGUGACACCACCACUGUAUAUGUAGCCACCACGUGUUACUCUCACUAACUCUAGUUAAAUGAUUUUAAUAUUUUUUUUUUUCUAAUACAUUUUUCUCUCACCACAUUUCUUCCAUAUAUUUUACUCUCUCUUUACUGUAUUCUUCUUCCUCUUCAUCUUUGUUAUUGAUGAGAAAAUUUUCUGGAUUUUGGAUUAACAUGAGACCAAAAGAGUACGUGUAUGAAGAAGAAGAUGCCAACUUUGAGUUCGUGUCGUUUCAGAAAUCCGCUGACGAGGUUUUCUUUGGUGACAACACUCGUAUCGACUCCUUCCCAUUGCAAUUUGCAAGAAGAGCAAGUCGACCGGAGAAGGAGAUAAACCAGACUCAUCUCCUGGGUUUGCUUGAUUGUGAUUCAAUCCAAAAGAAAAAAGAAAUCUUGAUAAAAGCUUUCCAUCAAUUACAUCAAUAUUAAUAGAAAACUGUUCAAUUUCAACAGA